rnacentral:rRNA from 1 species
AUUGAACGCUGGCGGCAUGCCUUACACAUGCAAGUCGAACGGCAGCACGGGUGCUUGCACCUGGUGGCGAGUGGCGAACGGGUGAGUAAUAUAUCGGAACGUACCUUGUAGUGGGGGAUAGCUCGGCGAAAGCCGGAUUAAUACCGCAUACGCUCUGAGGAGGAAAGCGGGGGACCUUCAGGCCUCGCGCUACAAGAGGGCCCGAUAACAGAUUAGCUAGUUGGUGAGGUAAAAGCUCACCAAGGCGACGAUCUGUAGCUGGUCUUAGAGGACGACCAGCCACACUGGGACUGAGACACGGCCCAGACUCCUACGGGAGGCAGCAGUGGGGAAUUUUGGACGAUGGGCGAAAGCCUGAUCCAGCAAUGCCGCGUGUGUAAAGAAGGCCUUCGGGUUGUAAAGCACUUUUGUCCGGAAAGAAAUCCUUUGGGUUAAUACCUCGGGGGGAUGACGGUACCGUAAGAAUAAGCACCGGCUAACUACGUGCCAGCAGCCGCCGCGGUAA